CAGCAGCCGCGGGAAUACGAAGGGUGCAAGCGUUACUCGGAAUUACUGGGCGUAAUGCGUGCGUAGGUGGUGGUUUAAGUCCGUUGUGAAAGCCCUGGGCUCAACCUGGGAAUUGCAGUGGAUACUGGGUCACUAGAGUGUGGUAGAGGAUAGUGGAAUUUCCGGUGUAGCAGUGAAAUGCGUAGAGAUCUGGAGAAAUACCGGUGGCGAAGGCGGCCCCCUGGACAAAGACUGACGCUCAGGUGCGAAAGCGUGGGGAGCAAACAGGAUUAGAUACCCCUGUAGUCCCUGUCUCUUAUAC
rnacentral:rRNA from 1 species